rnacentral:lncRNA from 1 species
ACUUGGUGACUUUUUAUGAUUGCUUUCUGCUCGUCUGAAUAAAGGAUGAGCCCAGGGCCUGCUGCCCACUGUCUGCUCUGAUGACCCUCUCUCCCCUGCAGAUCCGAGUGAUGGUGGACCUGUGCAACAGCACCAAGGGCAUCUGCCUCACAGGACCUCCGGGAGCCGGCGGGUUGCCAGGACACAACGGAUUGGAUGGACAGCCUGGUCCUCAGGGCCCAAAAGGAGAAAAAGGAGCAAAUGGAAAAAGAGGAAAAAUGGGUAUUUUUGGCAACUCUUCUAAUUAAUUUCCCUGUUAUUUAUCUCCAUGAUUGCAUUUGGGUCGACUAAAACUGUGUGCAGCAGGGGUAAGGUGUUUCAUCUCUGCACAGUUUAAGGCCGGUUUAACUCUUACCUAGAAGCCAUUGCGUUCCGGGAUACCAAGGGUAUACUUCUUGGUCCCACCUUGACAGAUGUUUAUUUCAAACUGGAGAAGCCGUCUCCUGGGAACUGACUCGCACCCUUCUGCUGCAGAUGGGAGGUGGAAGGAGCAGGAGCCCACAGCCCUGGGAGGGGCAUUCUGUGGGCCGUGUGACAGCUGGUGCUGGUGCA